rnacentral:misc_RNA from 1 species
GUGGGGGUGGUUGGGGGGUUGGAGAGGGUGUACGGAGAUCUAUUAUAUCUACAAGGGCGGAUGUUACAUAUGGUACGAGAUCCUUAUAUCUAUAAAUGAGGAACUGGAAACAUACAUACGAGAAUACAGAAAUAGAUGUCAUGAAGAUGUUAAGCUGCAGUUGGAGGACUUGGACUUGUCGAGAAUUGACCACAUGACUUGAACAUCCUCGUAGCCACAUGCCAUUACCUCCCCAUGCAGAUCCAUCACACAGUUUUCGUUCCCUGGUUGAGACUUCUUAUCUCUUGGUUGCUGAUUGAAGAAAGUGCAUGCUUUCUUGAAAGGGGAAGUGAUGGUUUUUUUCCAAGAAGCCAUUAUCUCGAACGAUAGUGUUUUCUUUUUGUUUUGUGAAUAUCUCCUGUGUGGUAGAUAGAGCAGAUGACUUAAUUAGUGUCGCU